AGUGGACUGAAAGGAAGGGGAUAUGGGCUCAUACAGAGGGAGGACCCUCUCCAUCACCAUAUGGUGCAACAAUUCGAGCUCUUAUUCAAGCUGCUUUUUGCAUGGCCCUGUAUCUAUACCUGGUGCCCCACUUUCCCUUGUCCCAGUUCACUGAUCCUGUGUACCAAGAAUGGGGCUUCUGGAAACGGUUGAGUUACCAAUAUAUGUCCGGCUUCACAGCACGUUGGAAAUACUAUUUCAUCUGGUCAAUUUCUGAGGCCUCUAUUAUUAUCUCUGGCCUGGGUUU
rnacentral:misc_RNA from 1 species